AUACGGAGGGUGCAAGCGUUAAUCGGAAUUACUGGGCGUAAAGCGCGCGUAGGCGGAUGAUUACGUCUCAUGUGAAAGCCCUGGGCUCAACCUGGGAACUGCAUGGGAUACUGGUCGUCUAGAAUACAGUAGAGGGUAGUGGAAUUUCAGGUGUAGCGGUGAAAUGCGUAGAGAUCUGAAGGAACAUCAGUGGCGAAGGCGACUACCUGGACUGAUAUUGACGCUGAGGUGCGAAAGCGUGGGGAGCAAACAGGAUUAGAAACCCGGGUAGUCC
rnacentral:rRNA from 1 species